GUGGCUCAACUGGUAGAGCAAGGCAUUAACACUGCCAGGGUUGGCGGUUCGAUUCCCCUUGGGGCCGCCCA